rnacentral:rRNA from 1 species
UACAGAGGUCUCGAGCGUUAGGCGGAAUCACUGGGCUUAAAGCGUGUGUAGGUGGAUCGUUAAGUACCUUGUGAAAUCCCACGGCUCAACCGUGGAACUGCUUGGUAUACUGGUUGUCUUGGGCCAUCUAGGGGCUAGCGGAACAAACGGUGGAGCGGUGAAAUGCGUAGAUAUCGUUUGGAACGCCAAUGGUGAAAACAGCUAGCUGGGGAUGUGCCGACGCUGAGACACGAAAGCCAGGGGAGCGAACAGG